CGCGUCUUUUUUCUCCAUCGCUGGUAAGUGGGCUGUCCCUUCCUCACAGUUGUGACAGGAGACAACAUUUAUUUGGAGAAAUACGCAGCAUUCACACAUCACGCUCAGGCCAUUACAGACAACAGUACACACAUGGGCACACGGUAUACAGUAGACACACGAGUGCCUAUCACUACAGCACACCAUGUUGACCGAGGGACGACUCUGACCAUUUAUAAUCCCGUGGAGUCUCAUACGAAUCCAAGACUAAUCGCCAGACAACCUUCUCUGCGCGAAUAGUUCCUUGCCUAUAAAACAAAGAUAUUGAGAAUAGCCAACAGAGAAGCUGGACACGAUCACACGAGGAUGGAGCGUUCUUCUUCCUUGCUCGCCCGCAGCAGCGUCGCCCUCCUGCUGCUGCUGGCUCUCCUACUCUGUUCCUUGGCGUGCUCGGCAGCGGUCCAAGUUUCUCUGGACGGAAACCGCGAGGGGCAACGACCUCCGGCGCCCUGGGCAUCAGGCGCGAGGUCGAAGUACUGCCCAGGCUGCAGCGACGACGGCGUCCCUCCGCCGCCACCGCCGCCGCCUGCAACUACGUCGGCACUUGCGCCUCACCGCAAGACCCUGGGGGUUGCUGCGAGGAUCCCUUCCACGAGAACCACCUAUACUAGAUGAUAUAUAUUGUUUUGUUGAUGAUGAUCAGACGGCUAAGAGUCAAAGCAGAGAAAUCUGAGCUAAGCCUUUACGACCCAGACAUGUUGCAUGUUCGCUCUCCAAAUUAAUUCUAAGCGGAAGUUCUACCAUGACCGACACCCAUCUUGUGGUACUAGA